rnacentral:rRNA from 1 species
CCCGACUGCUAUUUGGGUGAGAAUAAGCCAUGCAAGUCGAAUGGAAUGCCAAAAUAUUCCAUGGCAAACUGCCCAAUAACACGUGAUCAACUUACCCUAUGGAAAACAAUAACCUCUGGAAACGGAGGAUAAUGGUUUAUAGUUGAAAAGGCUUGGAAAAGUUUUUCAAUAAAAGGGAAUAAUAAAAAUGGUUAUUAUUUUGCCAUAGGAUAGGAUUGCGGUCGAUUAUGGCUGUUGGUGAGGUAAUGGCUCACCAAACCAAUAAUCGAUAGGGGCCGUGAGAGCGGGAGCCCCGAGAUGGGUACUGAGACAAUGACCCAGGCCUUACGAGGCGCAGCAGGCGCGAAAACUCCGCAAUACACGAAAGUGUGACGGGGUUACCCAAAGUGUUCAAUUUGAACUGUGGUAGGUGAGUAAUGUCCCCUACUAGAAAGGAGAGGGCAAGGCUGGUGCCAGCCGCCGCGGUAAAACCAGCUCUUCAAGUGGUCGGGAUAAUUAUUGGGCUUAAAGUGUCCGUAGCCGGUUUAGUAAGUUCCUGGUAAAAUCGGGUAGCUUAACUAUCUGCAUGCUAGGAAUACUGUUAUACUAGAGGGCGGGAGAGGUUUGAGGUACUUCAGGGGUAGGGGUGAAAUCCUAUAAUCCUUGAAGGACCACCAGUGGCGAAGGCGUCAGACUGGAACGCGCCUGACAGUGAGGGACGAAAGCCAGGGGAGCGAACCGGAUUAGAUACCCGGGUAGUCCUGGCCGUAAACGAUGCACACUAGGUGUUGGUAUGGCUAUGAGCCAUAUCAGUGCCGAAGGGAAACCAUUAAGUGUGCCGCCUGGGAAGUACGGUCGCAAGGCUAACAACUUAAAGGAAUUGGCGGGGGCGCACCACAAGGGGUGAAGCCUGCGGCUC